rnacentral:tRNA from 1 species
GCCCGACUAACUCAAUUGGUUAGAGUGUCAGACUUUUAAUCUGAAGGUUCAGGGUUCGAGUCCCUGGCCGGGCG